CAGUGACUUGUCUUACAAUAAUUUACAAGGAAGCUUUCCUUCUUGGGUUAGCGAACAAAAUUUACAGCUUAAUCUAGUUGCCAACAAUUUCACAAUAGAAGGUUCAAACAGCAGUGUUUUGCCUUCAGGAUUGAGUUGUCUUCAACGGGGUUUUCCUUGCAAUCAUGGCAUUGGAAGAUAU